rnacentral:rRNA from 1 species
AGCAGCCGCGGUAAUUCCAGCUCCAAUAGCGUAUAUUAAAGUUGUUGCAGUUAAAAAGCUCGUAGUUGAAUUUUGGGCCGGGCUGGGCGGUCUCGCUGAAAGGUGAGCACUGUUUGGUCUGGCCUCUCCUUCUGGUAAACCACCGUGCUCUUAACUGGGUGCGAUGGGGAACCAGGACUUUUACUUUGAAAAAAUUAGAGUGUUUAAAGCAGGCUAACGCUUGAAUACAUUAGCAUGGAAUAAUGAAAUAGGACGACGAUCCUAUUUUGUUGGUUUCUAGGACUGACGUAAUGAUUAAUAGGGAUAGUUGGGGGCAUUAGUAUUCAAUUGUCAGAGGUGAAAUUCUUGGAUUUAUUGAAGACUGACUACUGCGAAAGCAUUUGCCAAGGAUGUUUUCAUUAAUCAAGAACGAAAGUUAGGGGAUCGAAGACGAUCAGAUACCGUCGUAGUCUUAACCAUAAACUAUGCCGACUAGGGAUCGGAUGAUGUUAAUUUUAUAAUGACUCA